ensembl:Y_RNA Y_RNA Y RNA
GGUGCUUAGAAAACAGUAGUGAGACUAAUUGAUCACAACCAGUUACAGAUUUCUUUGUUCUUUCUCCACUCCCACUGCUUCACUUGACUAGCCUUAA